UUAGCCUUCAUUGUGCUGUGUGUGAUGCCCUUCUUCAGAGAGUUUUAGUCGUUUGUAAUUAAGUAUGACUGAAGCAUCUGAGGGAGAGUAAUGCAUGCCAUGUACAACGUAUGACUG
rnacentral:precursor_RNA from 13 species